ACACACAAACUGAAACUAAACGAAGGAGCACAUGAUUAAAAGACAAGCGUCUACGGGGCCUGUCAUUUCAGCAUCUUUCCAUCAUAACAUUGUGGCACAGGGAAAUUUGCUUGAAACCCUUGGAAAAAAAAAAUCGAUGGAAGCGGGGGCCUGGGGGGUGGGGAGGGCUUUCCAUUUGAGCGAAUUGCUGGCUCCGGAUUGCCUUCUGCUGAAGAGGAAGAAGAGAUGCUGGCAAAUACCCGGGGUCUCCAGGGGACUUCUUGGAAACCCCUGGAGGCAUCACGGACUUCUCUUCGAGCAGGGCUUUGGUUUGGAUGGUACAGUCCAAUUUCUCCACCUUUCUGUUUCCUGAAGCAUUGUGGCAAGGCCAACAGAAGUGAUACUUCAAUCAGAAUAGAGCUGGAAGGGACUUUGGAGGUCUUCUAGUCCAACCCCCUGCUCAAACAGGAGACCCUAUACCAGGGCCAUCAGCUGGGACUCAGGAGGCAGCAAAAGAUUGGGGGUGGGGCCAAAUAAAAGGCCUACUACAUGUCAGACUGGCUGGAUAAAGGAUGGGAUCCCUUUCCAUUGGUAGUGCACAAAACCUUCAGUGAAUUUCCAUGUUUUAGCAGUGAUUCUGAGAGUAUAACAUACUGGAAAGCAGAAAAACGAAGAAGAUAAUUAAAUGCAUGAUCUCAAGUCACAGAGUUGCUGUCUCAGGCGAAGCAUUACCUCCAAGAGGUCACCCAAGAGCCACCAGAGAACCUUGAUGUACAAAUAGGAACUCUAUCUUGCUUGAGUUUAACUUUGGCCUAUUUCUUCUAAUCCAUAUCUUUGACUGCUUUGUAUUGUGCAACCAGAUGAUAUAUAAUUGUGUUUCAUCAGCAUAUUGAUGAUAUUGCAUUCUUGAAGACAACAGGAGGGUCUGCACCCAAAGAUUUUAUGUAGAUGCUGAAAAGGAAUGGGGAGAGGAACAACAUCAGAGGUCACCGACCCAAUAUUUUCUUCUCUGUUCCCAGAUCUGAGAGUAAAGUUUGUGUGAAGCUCCUA